ensembl:lncRNA
AACCGGAGGUUGUAAGCCCAGUCAAUCUUGGUGAUGAGGGCAGGAGUUCAGGUGUCCACAGUGGGAACGCAGAAGGGGUGCCGCUGAGCUAGAGCCCUCAGGCACAGUGACUGGGACAGCUCUGCUGUGACUCAGUGUGAGAGACACUGGGUUGGAUCAAGGACCUCUGGGGAAGGUGAAUCACAUCCAGCAGUACAGUGCCACCCCACCCAAGCCAGAAUGGCCUGCGUUGUGGAAUCUAGCAGAAAGGUCAUCAGAGCAGGUCUGAAGAUGUCUGUCCUGGUCACGGGCCACUAGGAAGCUCAUUGAACUCUGUACACAGUGUCUUCCCCUUCUAUCAACACUGAAGCACUAAAGGUACUGAUUUUGUGAUUUUUCAUAAUGCAUGAAGAAAAUUCCCCCGCUCCACACAGCAGGCCCAGAGCCCCAGAAGCGAAAGCCACAGCCAGACUCCUAGGAUUCUGUGGAGCUCUCUGUUUGGAUGAAUCGUCUGCCCUUGUGGACCUGGGGCAAUUUUCUCAACUUUCAAAUGUGUUUUCCUUCCCCUCUCCUUUUCUGGGGUUUUCACCCUUGCAUGUAACUCAAACCACAAAUAAAACGUUAAGUCUCUGGCUGUGAGGCCUGCAGAGCAUAGCAGCUCUGGCAAAGCAGCUCUGGCAACCAGCUCUCCAAAGGACAAAUCACCUUUUUCUCUUACU